rnacentral:rRNA from 1 species
CCUACGGGAGGCAGCAGUGAGGAAUAUUGGUCAAUGGUCGGGAGACUGAACCAGCCAAGCCGCGUGAGGGAUGAAGGUACAGAGUAUCGUAAACCUCUUUUGUCAGGGAACAAAGGCGGGGACGUGUCCCCGGAUGAGUGUACCUGAAGAAAAAGCAUCGGCUAACUCCGUGCCAGCAGCCGCGGUAAUACGGAGGAUGCGAGCGUUAUCCGGAUUUAUUGGGUUUAAAGGGAGCGGAGGCGGGUUGUUAAGUCAGUGGUGAAAGCCCGGGGGUCAACCCCGGACACGCCGUUGAAACUGGCAGUCUCGAGUUGGAGAGAAGUAUGCGGAAUGCGCGGUGUAGCGGUGAAAUGCAUAGAUAUCGCGCAGAACUCCGAUUGCGAAGGCAGCAUGCCGGCUCCACACUGACGCUGAGGCACGAAAGCGUGGGUAUCGAACAGGAUUAGAUACCCUAGUAGUC